UACGUAGGUGGCAAGCGUUGUUCGGAUUUACUGGGCGUAAAGGGCGCGUAGGCGGCCACCGCAAGUCGACUGUGAAAUCUCCGGGCUUAACCCGGAAAGGUCAGCCGAUACUGCGGGGCUAGAGUGCAGAAGGGGCAACUGGAAUUCUCGGUGUAGCGGUGAAAUGCGUAGAUAUCGAGAGGAACACCUGCGGCGAAGGCGGGUUGCUGGGCUGACACUGACGCUGAGGCGCGAAAGCGUGGGGAGCGAACAGG
rnacentral:rRNA from 1 species